GACGAACGCUGGCGGCGUGCCUAAUACAUGCAAGUAGAACGCUGAAGGAGGAGCUUGCUUCUCUGGAUGAGUUGCGAACGGGUGAGUAACGCGUAGGUAACCUGCCUGGUAGCGGGGGAUAACUAUUGGAAACGAUAGCUAAUACCGCAUAAGAGUAGAUGUUGCAUGACAUUUGCUUAAAAGGUGCAAUUGCAUCACUACCAGAUGGACCUGCGUUGUAUUAGCUAGUUGGUGGGGUAACGGCUCACCAAGGCGACGAUACAUAGCCGACCUGAGAGGGUGAUCGGCCACACUGGGACUGGGACACGGCCCAGACUCCUACGGGAGGCAGCAGUAGGGAAUCUUCGGCAAUGGACGGAAGUCUGACCGAGCAACGCCGCGUGAGUGAAGAAGGUUUUCGGGUCGUAAAGCUCUGUUGUAAGAGAAGAACGAGUGUGAGAGUGGAAAGUUCACACUGUGACGGUAUCUUACCAGAAAGGUACGGCUAACUACGUG
rnacentral:rRNA from 1 species